rnacentral:rRNA from 1 species
GGGAAUGAGUAAAGCGGCAAACGGGUGAGUAGCACGUGGGAAACUUGCCCUUCGGUGGGGGAUAAGCUCUCGAAAGGGGGUCUAAUACCGCAUAACAUCGGAAGAUCGCAUGGUCUACCGAUCAAAGCAGCAAUGCACCGGAGGAUAGUCCCGCGCCUGAUUAGCUUGUUGGUAGGGUAAAAGCCUACCAAGGCAACGAUCAGUAGCCGGCCUGAGAGGGUGAUCGGCCACACUGGGACUGAGAUACGGCCCAGACUCCUACGGGAGGCAGCAGUAGGGAAUAUUGCGCAAUGGCCUAACGGCUGACGCAGCAACGCCGCGUGGAUGAUGAAGCUUUUCGGAGUGUAAAAUCCUUUCAGCAGGGAAGAAUAUCUUGACGGUACCUGCAGAAGAAGUCCCGGCCAACUCCGUGCCAGCAGCCGCGGUAACACGGGGGGGACAAGCGUUGUUCGGAUUCGCUGGGCGUAAAGCGCUCGUAAGUGGGCUGGAUAGUCGGAUGUGAAAACCUGAGGCUUAACUUCAGGCCUGCAUCCGAAACUGCCAGUCUUGAGUACUGGAGAGGGUGGCGGAAUUCCUGGGUGUAGCGGUGAAAUGCGUAGAUAUCAGGAGGAACACCGAUGGCGAAGGCAGCCAACUGGACCGAUACUGACACUGAGGGGCGAAGGCUACGGUAGCAAACAGGAUUAGAUACCCUGGUAGUCCUAGCGGGUAACGAUGGGCACUAAGUGUAGGCGGUAUCGACCCCAUCCAGUGCCGAAGCAAACGCAUUAAGUGCCCCGCCUGGGGAGUACGGUCGCAAGAUUGAAACUCAAAGGAAUUGACGGGGGCCCGCACAAGCGGUGGAGUAUGUGGUUCAAUUCGACGCAACGCGCAGAACCUUACCUGGGCUUGACAUAUGCUGGAAAGCCACAGAGAUGUGGUCCCUCCUUCGGGAGUCAGUAUACAGGUGCUGCAUGGCUGUCGUCAGCUCGUGUCGUGAGAUGUUGGGUUAAGUCCCGCAA